rnacentral:rRNA from 1 species
CCUACGGGUGGCUGCAGUCGAGAAUAAUUCACAAUGGGGGAAACCCUGAUGCUGCGACGCCGCGUGGGUGAAUGAGUAUUUCGGUAUGUAAAGCUCUAGCAGCAGGGAAGAAAGUAAUGACGGUACCUGACUAAGAAGCCGCGCCUGACUACGUGCCAGCAGCCGCGGUAAUAAGACGGGGGCAAGCGUUAUACGGAGGUACUGGGUGGAAAGGAGGGUGAGACGGCGACGCAAGUCUGCUGUGAAAGGCGGGGGCCCAACCUCCGGACUGCAUGGGAUACUGGAUGGCGGGAGUGAAGGAGGGGAAAGUGGAAUUCCUGGUGUAGCAGUGAAAUGCGUAGAGAUUAGGAGGAACACCAGUGGCGAAGGCGGCUUACUGGACUGUAACUGACGUUGAGGCUCGAAAGCGUGGGGAGCAAAAAGGAUUAGAUACCCCUGUAGGC